UGCUUUCUAAUGUAGAUACAUGAUCCUAACAUUAAAACAUUAGUCCAUCUGAAAUGCAGUUGUGUGGUGUAGACAAAUCAGUAAAGUGCCUUAUAACAGGGUAUUGCAUAAUCUGAUGUCUAUCUUAUUGCUUCCAUUGAAAGCAAGAGGGGCAAAGCACUCCCAUAUUAGAGAGCAGCAGGCUGACAGAAGUGAACAGUUAGAA